rnacentral:rRNA from 1 species
UACGUAGGCAGCAAGCGUUGCUCGGAAUCACUGGGCGUAAAGGGUGCGUAGGCGGGUCUUUUAAGUCAGGGGUGAAAUCCUGGAGCUCAACUCCAGAACUGCCUUUGAUACUGAAGAUCUUGAGUUCGGGAGAGGUGAGUGGAACUGCGAGUGUAGAGGUGAAAUUCGUAGAUAUUCGCAAGAACACCAGUGGCGAAGGCGGCUCACUGGCCCGAUACUGACGCUGAGGCACGAAAGCGUGGGGAGCAAACAGGG